CCCUAUUGCAGCAGAGGAUCAGAGGAAAUGUCUUCCCAGUGGUGUUCUUAUCACAUGAGAGAGAACAAGAGGCCUGCCUGACACCAUCAUUCCUACACUCAGAAGGAAAUGAAAACCCCUCUCUGAAAUCAAAUGAAAACCCCUCUCUGAAAUCAAACUUGUCAUUGGCCUCUGGGUAGAAGUAUUCACGUUCAGCUGAUUCUGCUUGAGAAACUUGCUCAAUAUUCUUAAUAAAAAUGUUCCCAAGACCAUAAAUUGUGUUCUCUGCAGUAAAUAAGAAAGUUCACAUGCAGCAAGUUGUACUUUACCCACUAUCUGCCCAGUGAAGUAUCACAAGAAUGUUCUGAGACAGUUAAUGCCAUGACAUUACUUGGGUCUAAGCCACAGGUGGAUUAACUACUGGAGUAGCAUGAAAACACUCCUUUAAAAAAAAAUCCAGGCAAAGAUGUAACCCUUUACUCAUUUACCUAGGAGGAAAUUUCAUUGUAUUUAAUUCAAUGUCCUUUCCAACAUACAUAUACAGAUUGUAAAUGUAAUGAUAAGUAUCAGCUGUCUGUGUCAGUGGCUGACCCCUUUGGUUUUUGUGGGUUCAAUGUGAACACACUUUAUCUCAUGUGCAAAAUUAUGAAAUUAACUUCAGGUGAUAAGUUGUACAUAAAACAUAAGUGAAUUUCAUUUUUAAACUUGGGUACAUGUACACAAAUACAGAUAUUCCAAAAUGCAAAAACACUUCUGGUCCCAGGCAUUUCAGAUAAGAGAUACUCAAAUGAUAACUUCUGGAACAUUGAUCUGUGUUUCGUCUGUAUGAAGCAUAGAUUGGUGAAAGAGAUUUUGCUGUCUAAAGCAAAGGAUCAAAUGCCACCUCCUGCACCCUACUUAAGGAAGACAAAUAAUCUGGCAAAUUGAAUUUUAAUGUAGUAUUGUCGAUAUAGUAAUAUUGGUGAUAGACCUCAACAGUGGGCAAAAAACUAUAUUUGAAGGUUAGAGGCGAAGGCAGCUUUCUUACAGCAAUAGUUGUCAACCUGGGGUCCCCAGAAGUUUUUGGCCUUCAACUUCCAGAAAUCUUAACAGCUGGUAAACUGGCUGGGAUUUCUGGGAGUUGUAGACCAAAAACAUCUGGGGACAUCGGGUUGAAAACCACUGGCUUAGAGAAAAGAGACCAAGCACAGCUGCAGCUCCUAAAUCACUGUGGCACAUCUGCUGAGAUUAAUGUCUCACUUUGCCUAUUGGUGAGGCUGAUGUAGAUUUCCUGUAUAUUUGGGGAUUUUAAACUUAUCUUUCCAUCAAAACCAAACACAUUUAUCUUGAACACACACAUGCAUACCUCUUUGAUCUAGAUAAUAUUAUUGCAUUUUAAAGCCAUGAAUAAUAUUUAAGUAACAUUCUCUCAUACAGAAGCCAUUACCUAAUCUCAUUUUCUUCCUCUCCACCUUUGCCUGUUGACUUUCAUCUGUAAAAACAUACGCCUACCUAAUCAUCAUUUACACACCUAAGUCCAAGUAUGUCAGUAUAUCAAAUGUGCGAAUGAAGCAAUGACACAUUUCCAUACUUGGUGAAUGCACUUACUCACAGAGCAUUAUCCCAAGUGCCAUCUGCUAUGACGUUCAAUUAGAUGUUACUCUCAGAGCUUUAAGCUCAGUUUGGUUCAGACAGCUCAUUAUUGUUCUGUGGAGACUUUCCUGCUAAAUUUAACAAGGACACCCAAAAGCUGGAGAAGUUGGUGACAUUUCUUGUCAAUAUUUGGUUCACCAACUUUUAAAAACCAAAACAAAAUAAAAAUUCCUUUCUCAUUUUGAGAACUUUACUGUGCUACAGACAAUAACCAGAAAAUUAAAUAGUGCCUAAUAAUUCUAACACUGUAUAGACAACAAACAAGGAAGGACAUAUGUCAUUAAAUACCAAAAUCAGAAUCACCCAAACCAUCAUGUUUCCAGUCUCUGUGUAUGGUUAUGGAAGAUGGGCAUAGAAUAAAACUGAAAAUAAGAAAGAAAUCAAUUGAUUGAAAUUGGACUACUAAAAAGACACAUGACUGGGGCCAUUUCUACCUUACCUGAGUAACCUGGGAUUAACCCUAGAGUCCUUUGGAUGUCAACAUGGCCAACUGGUGAAGGUUACAUUGGGGUCACUGCCAUCACUGCUGUAUCAUUGGUCACAAGCAACUUCUUGUCAGAGGCUUGUUAGCAGUGUAGCUCCUGGUGAUGUCAUACCAGGAUGGCCAGCCAUAUGACUCAACAUUGCAACAUUGGCAGCAAUGCAGUGGUGGAUCCAUUGAAGGUGUAGACAAUGGAUUGGGCCAGAUCCAGCCCAGUCCUGCUGUCCAGCCUCUGAAACUCUGGGAUCACUCUGGAGCUACCUGGAAAUCCCAUAGCCUCUUGACAAACAUCAACAGUUGGAUGCAGCCCAUCUGUUGCAAAUCUAACCAUGUAUCAUGUGGAAUCCCUGCAGCAGCUGAACAGCAUGCGGUUUUGGCAUUCUCAUAAGACCUUCCCGCCACUUUGCAAUGUCGGGGUCACAGUAGAAGGACAUUAGCACACAAAGAAGAGUGGUAGAAGAACAGGGAUAUUACAUUAAAUGAUGGCUUUCCCCCAUCAGUUAAAGGAGACCUUGCAAUCAUGGUCCAAGCCCAAUGGGAGAGACGCAAGGCUGUGUGUUUCAGGUCUCUAAAAUAGAUGCAACUGCUCCUGGUCAAUAGCUGACAUAAGCCAGAGGGAAAAACAUUUCCCAGUAAACUAUUUAAAAAUUUCCCAUGGAUGUUUUCAUAAGGAUAACUUGAACUUCUAUAUAUGAAUCCCUCUUGAAGAAUCUUCUCCAUAGGUGAUUUGACAGCAUCUCCAUCUAAAGACAACACCAUUACUGUGCUUUCAACCAAACCUGGAUCCUGAACUAUAAAGAACUGGAGUUAUCUGCUUACAGUUUUUCCUGCUUUUUUUAAUUCCCCACACAAAUUUAUUAUUUCUCCAAUAGGCCUUAAUUCCUCCCAAUCCAGGGUCUUGCAUGACUCUUUUCCCCACUUUUUUUUUUCCGUGUCAGGAGCAACCUGAGUUGCUUCUGGAGUGAGAGAAUUGGCCGUCUGCAAGGACGUUGCCCAGGGGACGCCCGGAUGUUUUGAUGUUUUUACCAUCCUUGUGGGAGGCUUCUCUCAUGUCCCCGCAUGGAACUGGAGCUGAUAGAGGGAGCUCAUCCGCACUCUCCCCAGGUGGGAUUUGAACCUGGCAGCCUUCAGGUCAGCAACCCAACCUUCAAGUCACUUAGUCCACUACGCCAUCUGGGGGCUUUUCCCCACUAGGAGGGGCCACCUCCAGCACAACUAAUAAUAUGUCCUCAAACAAAAUAACUUUGGGGACUACAGCUUCCAGAACCCACACUGACUUUGUGCUAUUCUCCCAUCAGGUAAUGCCCACAGUCUGAAUGACAAAAGUGAGAAAGGAUGUUGAGAUAUUUGGAGUGCCCACCUCGCACUGAAACUGCAGAAUUACAGUGGGCCCUUGGCAUCUGCUGAGGUUUAAUUCCAGGACCCGCAUGGAUAGAAAAAUCCUCAAGUCCCAUGAUAUGUAAUUGUGUAGUAACAUGGUGUCCCUUAUAUCAAAUGGCAAAAUCAAUGUUUACUUUUUUGGAUUUUGUUCCCUUAGUAUUUUCAAGCUGUGGGUGGUUGCAUCUAUCGAUGUGGAGGAAACCUGCACAAUGCUCUUAUUCCAAUUUACCUGCAAUGGCUCGGUCUUAUGGAAUGAUGGGGCUUGUAGUUUUGGUGAAGCUCUGACACUCUCUGCCGGGAACAUCUAAAUCAGUGGUUCUCAACCUUCCUAAUGUUACGACCCCUUAAUGCAGUUCCUCGUGUUGUGGUGACCCCCAACUAUAAAAUUAUUUUCGUUGCUA